UCGGGAGCUUGUACAGGUGCUGCAUGGCUGUCGUCAGCUCGUGUCGUGAGAUGUUCGGUUAAGUCCGCUAACGAGCGCAACCCUCGCUGUGUGUUACAAGUGUCACACGGAACUGCCGGUCAUAAACCGGAGGAAGGUGGGGAUGACGUCAAGUCAGCAUGGCCUUUAUAUCCUGGGCUACACACACGCUACAAUGGGAAGGGACAAUAGGUUGCGAAGCCGCGAGGCGGAGCCAAUCCAGCAAAACUUCCCUCAGUUCAGAUUGCAGGCUGCAACCCGCCUGCAUGAAGUUGGAGUUGCUAGUAAACGCAGGUCAGCCAUACUGCGUUGAAUACGUUCCCGGGGCUU
rnacentral:rRNA from 1 species